UACGUAGGGGGCAAGCGUUGUCCGGAUUUAUUGGGCGUAAAGAGCGUGUAGGCGGCCAGAUAAGUCCGCUGUGAAAUCUCGAGGCUCAACUUCGAGCUGUCGGUGGAAACUGUCUGGCUAGAGUCCGGAAGAGGAGAAUGGAAUUCCUGGUGUAGCGGUGAAAUGCGCAGAUAUCAGGAAGAACACCCGUGGCGAAGGCGGUUCUCUGGGACGGUACUGACGCUGGAGACGCGAAAGCGUGGGGAGCGAACAGG
rnacentral:rRNA from 1 species